GACGAACGCUGGCGGCGUGCUUAACACAUGCAAGUCGAACGGAAAGGCCCUGCUUUUGUGGGGUGCUCGAGUGGCGAACGGGUGAGUAACACGUGAGUAACCUGCCCUUGACUUUGGGAUAACUUCAGGAAACUGGGGCUAAUACCGGAUAGGAGUUCAUGCUGCAUGGUGGGGGUUGGAAAGUUUCGGCGGUUGGGGCUGGAGUCGCGGCUUAUCAGCUUGUUGGUGGGGUAGUGGCUUACCACGGCUUUGACGGGUAGCCGGCCUGAGAGGGUGAACGGCCACAUUGGGACUGAGAUACGGCCCAGACUCCUACGGGAGGCAGCAGUGGGGAAUAUUGCACAAUGGGCGGAAGCCUGAUGCAGCAACGCCGCGUGCGGGAUGACGGCCUUCGGGUUGUAAACCGCUUUCGCCUGUGACGAAGCGUGAGUGACGGUAAUGGGUAAAGAAGCACCGGCUAACUACGUG
rnacentral:rRNA from 1 species